UACGCUUAAUUCAUGUGCUCCGUGUGGGAUCGAUACCCUUACUUAAAAAAGUUACAACUAAACCCCGUGCAAUUGUAGGCCAUCAGCUAACCGAAAUGACGAUGCGAUGUGGUUGACGUCGGCUUGACAAAGUGAAGAUGUGAUGUUGCUGGCGCAUGUCAACAUCCAUGGAGCAACAAGGUUGGACUGGUUUGACACCGGUGCUGUCGUUGUUUUCUCACGACAGAUGCCAGGGGGUGUCUAGUCGUGGUGAGAGCAAGGCUGCCGUGGAGGAUCCGGGACGAGAUAGGGUACUAGCACGUGAUGGUUUACCUAGGUUCCGGGCUCUCCGGAGAGAUAAUACCCCUACUCCUGCAUGUCUGUAUAUGUGGUAUAUUAGCAGUACAAGGUUGCUCCUGGAGGUGUAUGGAAGAGGAGAGCCAUAGGCUUCUUGCUU
rnacentral:lncRNA from 1 species